AACGCCAAGAACCUUACCUGGGCUCGAACGGCUUUCCAACGACGGUGGAAACAUCGUUAUCCCGCAAGGGAGCAGAGUCGAGGUGCUGCAUGGCUGUCGUCAGCUCGUGUCGUGAGAUGUUGGGUUAAGUCCCGCAACGAGCGCAACCCUUGUCCUGUGUUGCUAACCGAAAGGUGCACUCUCAGGAGACCGCCAGCGAUAAGUUGGAGGAAGGUGGGGAUGACGUCAAGUCAUCAUGGCCUUUAUGUCCAGGGCUACACACGUGCUACAAUGGGCGGUACAAAGCGCUGCCAACCCGCGAGGGGGAGCUAAUCGCAAAAAACCGUCCUCAGUUCGGAUUGCAGGCUGCAACUCGCCUGCAUGAAGCUGGAAUCGCUAGUAAUGGCAUAUCAGAAUGAUGCCGUGAAUACGUUCCCGGGCCUUGUACACACCG
rnacentral:rRNA from 1 species